CUGAGACUUAAAAUGAGUAAUACAUCAAUAGAUAAGAAUAGAACAUUUCAGAUAAACUGAACAGCAUGAGAAAAAAGUAUAAUGGUAUGAACAUGCAGGAUGGGUUCAGGGACUGGGGUAUAGUACAGAGCCAUGAGUAAUUGCCAAGGAUAGAACAGAAGGUCCUACAAAGACCAGAGUCUUUAUUCUAGAGGUUUAUUCUAGAAACUUGAUUCUUGAUUCUAGAGCAGAAAAAGUAGGCUGGUCAGUUUUGCAGUUCAGCAGUAAUUCCCUGGAGCAAUAUGGAGAUGGGAUCCUAAAAAAUGAAGCUCGAGGGAAAGAGACUGGUUGGGAUACUCUUGCUGUAGGAGAAGUAGAUGCCUGACUAUGGUUAAUGUCAAGGUGUCUGGACAUGGAAAUUUAGGGGUUUUGCCCAUGAUCUUUCAAACAGGUUUGGCACUGAUAUUUAAGGAACUAGGCGGGUCUCCAGAGGUAAUGGAGCAAAUGGCCACUAAGAUGGCAUGACUCAGACAGCUCUGCUACUCAAAGAAAUCUCCCCUCCAGGGCCCAAGGGCUCUGGGCCUGAAGUCCCAGUUUGAAAUUGUUUUUUUUUUUUUUUUUCUUUAGGUAGCAGGGAUUUAAGACUAGAUUAAUUAUGAUCCUUGGUUUGUAUAUGGCCCUAUUUUAUUUACCUAUUUAGUUAAUUUAGUAUAAUAAGUAUUCAUGAACCAUCCUUUGUGUGAAAACUAGAACUUCUACCACAUCUUUCCAUGUGGUCUUCUUUUACUCCACUCUCCCCAAAGUAACCACCAUAGGACUCUUAUAUCCAUCAUUCCCUCUUUUAUCUAGUUUUAGCCCAACUGUAUGUAUACUUUUAAAAAUAUAUUUUAUUAACAUCGUUCUUAAUAUUAUAAAAUGGGCAUCACAUAAAAUUAACUUUGAUAUUUUUACUUCUUAAUUAAUAAUAUGCUUUGAAGACUCAUGUAUAUUGUUGCUUAUUAAAGUUAAUUUAAUUUUUAUUCUUAUGUGACUAUAUCAUAGCUUAUUCAUAAAUUCGCCUUGAUGGGAUAUGUUAAGUUUGUUGUUAUUUAGAGUAUUUUUACAAACAUUCUUACCCACAUUUUCUGGUACAUGUAUAUAUAUACAUACAUCUACACAGAGACACACACAUACACAGAUUUCUUUGAAACAUAGUCAUAUGAGUAGAAUUCUUAAGGUCCAUAAAUACUCCAUUUUACAAGAUAAUAUCAAACUGUUUUUCUUAAUGGUUUUACAAACUUCUAGUUCCAGCCAUGACUAACAGCCAACAUCAACCAUUACCAUUGGUCAGUCUAUGAAACAAGAGUUUAUGUGGAAGCACAGAAAGAAGACAAAUCAGGCAGGAGUUGAGGCAUUGCUGACCUUGAGUCAUGAGCAGCUCACAAGGUGAUUCCACUUAGCUUUCUCCUUUCUAACAUUUUCUAAAUGGUAGUGGAGGGGAACAGAGCCCAAGAAGAACAAGGUAGCCUCAUUGGGCUGAGGAGCAGAGAGCGGGUUCAGGGUGACUAGGCAGUGGGGACUGGAAGGGCAAAAAGCCUAGAGAAGAGAAACACAGUGAAAGACCUAGAAAUCUGCCGAAACUCCCUUCUCAGCCAGUGAAAGGCUCCUAAGACACACAUGUGGGAGAAAAUCUUCUAAACUGCAGAAAAUAGUGGCUGGGAGACUGAAGAGCUGAGCUAGGUGUCAGAGGCAUGAGGUGGUCAGGCACAGAAGUAGGAGUACAAGUCCUACCAUGGUGGAGUGCUGGUAAGCAGCCCAGACGUCCAGUUUAACCUGAGAAGGGCUACUAGCUAGGAGUAAGGAACUUGCUCAUCCUAAGAGUAAGAGGGAACUGAAAUAGACAAUGGCUAACAAAGUCUAAAACCAACCAGCAGGAUCAAGUUGAUUUGUUAGUAUUCUGUCUGGUAGAAGAAAACUUCAUUUGCUUUAGAUGAAUAUAAGGUCAUCCAAAGUUUCCACAAUUUUAAUCCACAAUGUUCAGCAUUCCACCAAAAUUUAAAAGGCAUGCUAAAAAUAAUGAACAAAUAAGUGAC
rnacentral:lncRNA from 1 species